rnacentral:rRNA from 1 species
UUAACAAAAACAUUGCCCUAUGCCAAAAUAUAUAGGGUUCAUCCUGCCCAGUGAUUUAUUCAACGGCCGCAGUAGCCUGACUGUGCAAAGGUAGCAUAAUCAUUUGCCCUUUAAUUGGGGGCUUGUAUGAAUGGAUAAACGAAGUUAAUACUUUAUUCCUACUUCCAGCGUAAACUAAUAUUUAGGUGAAAAAGCAAAAAUUCAAGAGAAAGACAAGAAGACCCUAUAGAGCUUCACCUAAAAAAUAAUAUAUAUUUAUUCUAAGGUUUAGUUGGGGCAACUAUAACUCAUUCUAGCAAUAUUUAACUAUAAGACAUUAAGUCAUCCUAAUGACCCAAAAGAUCAAAGAAUAUAGCUACCUUAGGGAUAACAGGCUGGUUUCUUUUGAGAGCCCACAUUUGACCAAGAAGUUCGGCACCUCGAUGUU